rnacentral:rRNA from 1 species
UAGAGUUUCGUAUCCUAGGCUCAGGAGAACGCUGCGGCGUGCCUAACACAUAGCAAGUGAACAAGCUUGAAUUCUAGAUUUCUUCGGAAUGAAGAAUGAUAUGACUGAGUGGCGGACGGGUGAGUAACGCGUGAGCAACCUGCCCUUCGAGGGGGAUAGUGUCUGGAAACGGACAGUAAUACCGCAUAACGUAUUUUUACCGCAUGAUAGAAAUACCAAAACUGAGGUGCCGAAGGAUGGGCUCGCGUUGGAUUAGAUAGUUGGUGGGGUAACGGCCUACCAAGUCAACGAUCCAUAGCCGGACUGAGAGGUUGAACGGCCACAUUGGGACUGAGACACGGCCCAGACUCCUACGGGAGGCAGCAGUGGGGAAUAUUGCACAAUGGGGGAAACCCUGAUGCAGCAACGCCGCGUGAAGGAAGACGGUUUUCGGAUUGUAAACUCCUGUUCUUAGUGAAGAAAAAUGACGGUAGCUAAGGAGCAAGCCACGGCUAACUACGUG